rnacentral:rRNA from 1 species
UACGUAGGGGGCAAGCGUUGUCCGGAUUUAUUGGGCGUAAAGAGCGUGUAGGCGGCCAAGUAAGUCUGCUGUGAAAACUCGAGGCUUAACCUCGAGCUGUCGGCGGAAACUAUUUGGCUAGAGUCCGGAAGAGGAGAAUGGAAUUCCCGGUGUAGCGGUGAAAUGCGCAGAUAUCGGGAAGAACGCCCGUGGCGAAAGCGGGCGCCUGGACCCCGCCUGACGCUGAGACGCGAAAGCCAGGGGAGCGAACGGG